AGGUGUUUCAGUGAACAUUUUUAUGUGCUCUCUCAGAGGGAAAUUCAGGUAUAUAAUUCAGAGUCAGAGACAUCCAGCUCUAGGCAAUUUUGGCCCAGCAACUCCCUUGCUCCUCAGUUUUGCUUUGAUGCAGAGCUGAAACUUGAGCGAGGCAAUGCAGCAUACAAAGAGGAGGGUACAUUGCUUACUCCAGAUCCUAAACUGAAGUCGAACAUUAUUGAAAGCCUGGUUCAAGAAAUUGUCCGAUACAACGUUUAUUUCACUGAUAAAGAGUUUAACACAGAUGGAAAGGCCCUCACCUCUAAACAUCCUUGACUCACUGAGAAAGGCUCCCUGACAGGAUAUGCUGGUUGGAAAACUAGCUUAAAGAAUACACUUGCAAUUUACCACACUCACUUGAGAAAACUUGUACAUCCUGAGGUGAUUGUAAACUCUGUUAAGCACAAACCGGAGGGCAAAUCAAGUGCUGCUUCUGCCAUCAAAAGACCACGGCAGCCUGAAGUAAACUACCCCCCUCCCUCCCCCAUCCCACCGGAGAAUCUGAUGAGAGCCUUGAGAGUGGCACUUCUUUCAGAUGUGAAGAACAACAACAACAACAGGGAAGUGGUUAUGAUGAAAAUGAAAAGACAUUUGCUUAUAGGAGAUAUGAAGUGGUUUGUGACAUCCCCAUGAUCCAAGACUUCAGGGCAAGAUGGCCAGCACUCUUUGACGUAAGCAAGAUAAAUGCAGAAUUUAAGCACAUUACCACCAUGCCCCUACAGUCCACAUUUCUGUCGCAGAUAGAUGUGCUGUCUGACAAAUUUCUAAAGCUAUUUCAAAAGUGAGGAGGACAGAUAAGAAGAAGACUGCAGACCAUCAUGGAACCCAAGGCUAAAGAUGAUGAUGUUGAUAUUGGAUGAGAAUGUAUUAUCAAGGGGCUCUAUUAUUGAGAGAAUAUGCGGCGAGUACAAUUAUAAAGGCUGCAGACAAAGCCUUCAUCCCAGGAUCCAUUGAGGAGACCAGAGUAUGGGAAUCUACGUUCUCAAACACAAAGGUACCAUGACAGACCAGAGGACAUCGAGGUUGUCCUUGAGGGCCAGAUGGUCUUACAAGAUUUGGAUAACUUUGCAUUCGCUGCUGCGAUGUUAUUUGGACAGAUGUUAUUCUGAACUGAUGUAUACCUUUGAGGUACUGCAGAAAAUGGUCAUGGAGCUGGAAGGCAGCACACUUUCAAAGAAAGCACAAGUUCUCAGAAGCAGACUCUAUGAGUGAGCUGUUUUCAUGUUAUGGCAGGGUAUGACAAGGUAGUUUCACAUGUUUGCCUCUUGGAAUAAGGAUCAUUAUUUAUUUUUCGUUUCACACACCCACACACAGAAAACUUACUUAUAGAGUGCAUAUGGAGUGAAACUUUUAAUAGAGGGUAGGUUGGCCACUGUUUAUUUUUUUAUUUUUUUGGUGAUGUGUAUGGCAUGUGUACGAUUUUCACGAUUAUCUGCAAAUGUACCUAUA